rfam:Candidatus Rickettsia amblyommii str. GAT-30V, complete genome.
UCUUGGCUGCUUGGUUCGUGAGCUUAAUAUUAACCUAGGACUACCACUAACUUUUAGGACAUCGUCCCUGUCUAAUAACUAAUUCAGUUUAGAUAUAUGAAGUCCACCUUUACAUAAAGGUCUUUGAAGGAUUUUAAGUAACGGCCAAAGCGGUCAUGUA